rnacentral:rRNA from 1 species
AGCAGCCGCGGUAAUUCCAGCUCCAAUAGCGUAUAUUAAAGUUGUUGCAGUUAAAAAGCUCGUAGUUGAAUUUCGGGAUCAAUAUAUCGGUCAUGCUUAGGUAUGUACUGGUAUUAUUGAUUUCUCCCUUCUGAAGAACCAUGAUGUCAUUAAUUUGGUGUCGUGGGGAAUCAGGACUGUUACUUUGAAAAAUUAGAGUGUUUAAAGCAGGCAUACGCUUGAAUACAUUAGCAUGGAAUAAUGAAAUAGGACGUUUGAUUCUAUUUUGUUGGUUUCUAGGAUCGACGUAAUGAUUAAUAGGGAUAGUUGGGGGCAUUAGUAUUCAAUUGUCAGAGGUGAAAUUCUUGGAUUUAUUGAAGACUAACUACUGCGAAAGCAUUUGCCAAGGAUGUCUUCAUUAAUCAAGAACGAAAGUUAGGGGAUCGAAGACGAUCAGAUACCGUCGUAGUUUUAACCAUAAACUAUGCCGACUAGGGAUCGGAUGAUGUUAAUUUUUAUGACUC